UACGGGGGGAGCAAGCGUUGCUCGGAAUCACUGGGCGUAAAGGGUGCGUAGGCGGGUCUUUAAGUCAGGGGUGAAAUCCUGGAGCUCAACUCCAGAACUGUCCUUUGAUACUGAAGAUCUUGAGUUCGGGAGAGGUGAGUGGAACUGCGAGUGUAGAGGUGAAAUUCGUAGAUAUUCGCAAGAACACCAGUGGCGAAGGCGGCUCACUGGCCCGAUACUGACGCUGAGGCACGAAAGCGUGGGGAGCAAACAGGG
rnacentral:rRNA from 1 species